GCAUUGGUGGUUCAGUGGUAGAAUUCUCACAUUCCAACAGGGAGACCUGGGUUUGAUUCCUGGCCACUGCA
rnacentral:tRNA from 1 species